rfam:Myotis lucifugus cont2.35102, whole genome shotgun sequence.
CCUGUGGGGGGAGGUCCCUCAGCCCGGAUUGUGAGUGGGUGCAGGCCAGGCUGAGGGACCCUACUGGUGUACG